rnacentral:rRNA from 1 species
CAGUCGCCACGGGAAUACGUAGGGUGCAAGCGUUAAUCGGAAUUACUGGGCGUAAAGCGUACGCAGGCGGUUAUAUAAGACAGAUGUGAAAUCCCCGGGCUCAACCUGGGAACUGCAUUUGUGACUGUAUAGCUAGAGUACGGCAGAGGGGGAUGGAAUUCCGCGUGUAGCAGUGAAAUGCGUAGAUAUGCGGAGGAACACCGAUGGCGAAGGCAAUCCCCUGGGCCUGUACUGACGCUCAUGCACGAAAGCGUGGGGAGCAAACAGGAUUAGAUACCCCGGUAGUCCCUGUCUCUUAUAU